rnacentral:rRNA from 1 species
CCCCCUCCCCCCGGCUCCCCGGAGCGGGGGGUCGGAGACUGGCCUCCCGUGCGCUACUGCCGCGCGGCCGGCCC